rnacentral:rRNA from 1 species
AUUGAACGCUGGCGGCAUGCCUUACACAUGCAAGUCGAACGGCAGCACGGGUGCUUGCACCUGGUGGCGAGUGGCGAACGGGUGAGUAAUACAUCGGAACGUACCUUAUCGUGGGGGAUAACGCAGCGAAAGCUGUGCUAAUACCGCAUACGCCCUGAGGGGGAAAGCGGGGGAUCGCAAGACCUCGCGCGAUUAGAGCGGCCGAUGCCUGAUUAGCUUGUUGGUGGGGUAAAAGCCCACCAAGGCGACGAUCAGUAGCUGGUCUGAGAGGACGAUCAGCCACACUGGGACUGAGACACGGCCCAGACUCCUACGGGAGGCAGCAGUGGGGAAUUUUGGACAAUGGGGGCAACCCUGAUCCAGCAAUGCCGCGUGAGUGAAGAAGGCCUUCGGGUUGUAAAGCUCUUUUGUCAGGGAAGAAACACCGGCUCUAACACAGUCCGGGAAUGACGGUACCUGAAGAAUAAGCACCGGCUAACUACGUGCCAGCCGCCGCCGUAA